rnacentral:rRNA from 1 species
AUUGAACGCUGGCGGCAGGCCUAACACAUGCAAGUCGAACGAGUGGCGGACGGGUGAGUAAUGUCUGGGAAACUGCCCGAUGGAGGGGGAUAACUACUGGAAACGGUAGCUAAUACCGCAUACCAUCGGAUGUGCCCAUAUGGGAUUGGCUUGUAGGUUGGGUAAUGGCUCACCUAGGCGACGAUCCCUAGCUGGUCUGAGAGGAUGAUCAGCAAAACUGGGACUGAGACACGGUCCAGACGCUGACGGGAGGCAGCAGUGGGGAAUAUUGCACAAUGGGCGCAAGCCUGAUGCAGCCAUGCCGCGUGUAUGAAGAAGGCCUUAGGGUUGUAAAGUACUUUCAGAGGGGAGGCGUUACCCACAGAAGAAGCACCGGCUAACUCCGUGCCAGCAGCCGCGGUAAUAC